rnacentral:rRNA from 1 species
GUACCCCAAACCGACACAGGUGGUCGGGUAGAGAAUACCAAGGCGCUUGAGAGAACUCGGGUGAAGGAACUAGGCAAAAUGGUACCGUAACUUCGGGAGAAGGUACGCUCUUGAUGGUGAAGUCCCUCGCGGAUGGAGCUGACGAGAGUCGCAGAUACCAGGUGGCUGCAACUGUUUAUUAAAAACACAGCACUGUGCAAAAUCGUAAGAUGACGUAUACGGUGUGACGCCUGCCCGGUGCCGGAAGGUUAAUUG